rnacentral:rRNA from 1 species
UAGGGAAUCUUCCGCAAUGGCCGCAAGUCUGACGGAGCAACGCCGCGUGAGUGAAGAAGGAUUUCGGUUCGUAAAACUCUGUUGUUAGAGAAGAACAGCGCAUAGAGUAACUGUUAUGCGUGUGACGGUAUCUAACCAGAAAGCCACGGCUAACUACGUGCCAGCAGCCGCGGUAAUACGUAGGUGGCAAGCGUUGUCCGGAUUUAUUGGGCGUAAAGCGAGCGCAGGCGGUCAAUUAAGUCUGAUGUGAAAGCCCCCGGCUCAACCGGGUAGGGUCAUUGGAAACUGGUUUGCUUGAGUGCAGAAGAGGAGAGUGGAAUUCCAUGUGUAGCGGUGAAAUGCGUAGAUAUAUGGAGGAACACCAGUGGCGAAGGCGACUCUCGGGACUGUGACUGACGCGGAGGUUCGAAAGCGUGGGUAACAAACAGG